rnacentral:rRNA from 1 species
AUUGUACGCUGGCGGCAGGCUUAACACAUGCAAGUCGAGCGGAGAUGAGGUGCUUGCACCUUAUCUUAGCGGCGGACGGGUGAGUAAUGCUUAGGAAUCUGCCUAUUAGUGGGGGACAACAUUCCGAAAGGAAUGCUAAUACCGCAUACGUCCUACGGGAGAAAGCAGGGGAUCUUCGGACCUUGCGCUAAUAGAUGAGCCUAAGUCGGAUUAGCUAGUUGGUGGGGUAAAGGCCUACCAAGGCGACGAUCUGUAGCGGGUCUGAGAGGAUGAUCCGCCACACUGGGACUGAGACACGGCCCAGACUCCUACGGGAGGCAGCAGUGGGGAAUAUUGGACAAUGGGGGGAACCCUGAUCCAGCCAUGCCGCGUGUGUGAAGAAGGCCUUAUGGUUGUAAAGCACUUUAAGCGAGGAGGAGGCUACUGAGACUAAUACUCUUGGAUAGUGGACGUUACUCGCAGAAUAAGCACCGGCUAACUCUGUGCCAGCCGCCGCGGUAAGAC